UUAGGUAACUUCUUCACAGGCUUCCCUUCCCGCCAAAAGCACCUUUAUAUCUUCCGGGGUCUCAGACCUCAGCCAGCUUGCUUGGGACUGGAAGCCUGCCUCCUGUAUCCCUGGCCUCAGCUAAAAAGCUGCAUCAGGGAAUGAGCUGGAACCUAAGGGGCCCUACUGCACCAAGUAUCAACUUGCCCUGGGCUGCUAUGUGGAAAACGCCUCACCUACAACAUGGGAGACUGUGGAGUGGGAAGAGACCAACCCAAUCAGGAUACAAAAUGGAAUGUACACUAUGAUUACAACUCUGCAAAAAUAUAUCUGCCAACGGAUUAAUAUUGGAUAUAAACAAGCAAAAAUGAAAGUAUAACUGCAUGUCUGGCAUAGGUAUGAACUUUUCCCUUUCUUUUACAAAUGAGAAAAUGGAGUCUUACAGAAGUAAAGCAAUUUGCGAAGGUCAUACAGCCA